rnacentral:rRNA from 1 species
UACGGAGGAUGCAAGCGUUAUCCGGAAUGAUUGGGCGUAAAGCGUCCGCAGGUGGCACUUCAAGUCUGCUGUUAAAUACUAGGGCUCAACCCUGGAGCGGCAGUGGAAACUGAAGAGCUAGAGUUCGGUAGGGGUUAGGGGAAUUCCCAGUGUAGCGGUGAAAUGCGUAGAUAUUGGGAAGAACACCGGUGGCGAAAGCGGUUUGCUAGGCCGAAACUGACGCUCAUGUACGAAAGCUUGGGGAGCGAAUGGG